UCUAUAAAUAGUUUCUUCUCUUCCUUUAUUCUAACAUUCCCAGGAAACCCGAAGGGUCCGCGUCAAGAACACGAACAAACCGGUGAUCUCUCCGGGGAGAUCCCCAAACUUGGCACCUCUCUUUGGUCCGAUCUUUCGGCGAUUCGAAUUCUGGCUCCGGUUUCGGCCCUCGCAAAGUAGAAGCUGGUGUUCAUGGAGGGGAUCAAUCUGUAGGCAAAACCAGCAUCGUCACUCGCUUCAUGUACGAUAAAUUCGACAAUACCUAUCAGGGUACAAUAAAAUACGACGUCGUCUCAAUUUCCAUUUUCCGCUAAUUUACUGUCGUACACGUGGCGGUUUCUGAUAGGCCAACCCGAUCAUUCAAAACUUGUUACGAUUCGUCGGUUGACAAUAUAUGUCAGCGAGUCCUCUCUCUCUCUCUCUCUCUGGCUGAGAAGUUUUGCUUCGCAGAGAAAUCAACUCUAACGACUUACUUAACUUCGCCUUCUUCUAUUUGCUCCUCUCUCCAUUUCUCUCUCUCUCUUAGCCGCCAUCGUACAAGGGAAGAAGCUUUCUCUCUUCAAACACUAUGCCAGUAUCUGUGCCUUUAUACUCCAGCAUCAAGGGAAUUGCUAUUGAUUUUGUAUUUAAUAACUAGCUUUACGAACCAUUUAUUUUGAAUGUUCAAGCAUCUUUGUGAGCUAAUGAAGUGCAGGUCCAGUCUAUAAAUUGUUUUAAGUUCUGUUUUGCGUUGGUUAGAGUUGAGGAUUGCAUGUAAAUCCCAAUUAUUUUUUUUGGUGGACCUUUUUCUUAUUUUGUUUGGGAGAUUAGAGAUUUCAAGACGAUAUUACUAGAACUAAAUUUUGGCCUUUGAAUUUCAGAUUUUGUUAACAUCUGUUUGUAAGAAAAAAAAAAAACCUUUUUUUUUAAUUUCCCAGAAGGGAUAAAUAUGACAGUAUGAAGUGUUGUGGCCAAUAAAACUUCGUAUAAUCACUGGGUAAUGAGACCAAGUUGCUCUGCCUUAAUCAGUUUAUUCAAGGCUGGUUUGAUGUAAUCUUUAGCGCUGACAUAUGGUUUUGCAUUUAUGGGAAACUGUAUACAUCCGUUUGUGUAUCUGAAUCAUUCAGACUCUACUGAAAUGGUGUAGAAUAACGUCCUUAAGCAGACCAUAAGAAUUAUUCCGACAAUUACACAUCAAAUAUCAACGUUUG